rnacentral:rRNA from 1 species
UACGUAGGUGGCAAGCGUUGUCCGGAUUUACUGGGCGUAAAGAGCGCGCAGGCGGUCGGAUCAGUCGAAUGUGAAAGCCCCCGGCUCAACUGGGGAGGGUCAUUCGAUACUGUCCGACUCGAAGGCAGGAGAGGGAAGCGGAAUUCCCGGUGUAGUGGUGAAAUUCGUAGAUAUUGGGAAGAACACCGGUGGCGAAGGCGGCGACCUGGUCCGAUACUGACGCUGAGGCGCGAAAGCGUGGGGAGCAAACAGG